UACCCGCAGCACAAGUGGUGGUCAUUAUUAUUGGGCCUAAAGCGUCCGUAGCUGGCUUGUUAGAUGCCUGGGUAAAUCGAUGCGCUCAACGUAUCGAACUCCGGGUAGACCGGCAAGCUUGGGACCGGGAGAGAUGUGAGCUACUCGAGGGGUAGGGUAAAUCCUGUAAUCCUUCGGGGAGGACCAGUGGCGAAGGCGCACAUUAGAACGGCUCCGACAGUGAGGGACGAAGCCCUGGGGCGCAAACCGG
rnacentral:rRNA from 1 species